rnacentral:lncRNA from 1 species
AAAAUUUUCUGCCAAUUGUCGAAAUUUUUCUCGGAAGAACGGGGAAACAAUUUCAAUACUUUAAGUUCUAGGUCGCCCACCAGUAUAAUGCAGGAAUACAUUUAAGUUCUAGGUCGCCCACCAGUAUAAUGCGGGAAUACAUUUAAGUUCUAGGUCGCCCACCAGUAAAAUGCGGGAAUACAUUUAAUUUCUAGGUCGCCCACCAGUAUAAUGCGGGAAUACAUUUUAAGUUCUAGGUCGCCCACCAGUAUAAUGCGGGAUUACAUAUAAGUUCUAGGUCACCCACCAGUAUAAUGCGGGAAUACAUUUAAGUUCUAGGUCGCCCACCAGUAAAAUGCGGGAAUACAUUUAAGUUCUAGGUCGCCCACCAGUAAAAUGCGGGAAUACAUUUAAGUUCUAG